GACGAACGCUGGCGGCAGGCCUAACACAUGCAAGUCGAACGAAGUCUUCGGACUUAGUGGCGGACGGGUGAGUAACACGUGGGAACGUGCCUUUAGGUUCGGAAUAACUCAGGGAAACUUGUGCUAAUACCGAAUGUGCCCUUCGGGGGAAAGAUUUAUCGCCUUUAGAGCGGCCCGCGUCUGAUUAGCUAGUUGGUGAGGUAAAGGCUCACCAAGGCGACGAUCAGUAGCUGGUCUGAGAGGAUGAUCAGCCACAUUGGGACUGAGACACGGCCCAAACUCCUACGGGAGGCAGCAGUGGGGAAUCUUGCGCAAUGGGCGAAAGCCUGACGCAGCCAUGCCGCGUGAAUGAUGAAGGUCUUAGGAUUGUAAAAUUCUUUCACCGGGGACGAUAAUGACGGUACCCGGAGAAGAAGCCCCGGCUAACUUCGUGCCAGCAGCCGCCGUAACAC
rnacentral:rRNA from 1 species